UCUUAUGUACAUACCUACAACAUAACAUUAAUGCAUCGGAUCCCAUUAGAACUCUAUAGUUAAGCAUACUUGGGCUAGAGUGGUGUUGGGAUGGGUGACCACCCGGGAAGUCCUACUAUUUUACAUGCC
rfam:Picea glauca, whole genome shotgun sequence.